rnacentral:rRNA from 1 species
AGAGUUUGAUCAUGGCUCAGAUUGAACGCUGGCGGCAGGCCUAACACAUGCAAGUCGAGCGAGAAAGCACUUCGGUGUGAGUAGAGCGGCGGACGGGUGAGUAACGCGUAGGAAUCUACCUAGUAGUGGGGGACAACCUGGUGAAAACCAGGCUAAUACCGCAUACGCCCUACGGGGGAAAGCGGGGGAUCUUCGGACCUCGCGCUAUUGGAUGAGCCUGCGUUGGAUUAGCUAGUUGGUGGGGUAAAGGCCUACCAAGGCGACGAUCCAUAGCUGGUCUGAGAGGAUGAUCAGCCACACUGGGACUGAGACACGGCCCAGACUCCUACGGGAGGCAGCAGUGGGGAAUAUUGCACAAUGGGCGCAAGCCUGAUGCAGCCAUGCCGCGUGUGUGAAGAAGGCCUGAGGGUUGUAAAGCACUUUCAGUAGGGAAGAAAGGUCAAGCGUUAAUAGCGCUAGGCUGUGACGUUACCUACAGAAGAAGCACCGGCUAACUCCGUGCCAGCAGCCGCGGUAAUACGGAGGGUGCGAGCGUUAAUCGGAAUUACUGGGCAUAAAGCGCACGUAGGCGGUUUUGUAAGUCGAAUGUGAAAGCCCUGGGCUUAACCUGGGAACUGCAUUCGAUACUGCAUAACUAGAGUAUAGGAGAGGAAGGUAGAAUUUCUGGUGUAGCGGUGAAAUGCGUAGAGAUCAGAAAGAAUACCGGUGGCGAAGGCGACCUUCUGGCCUAAUACUGACGCUGAGGUUCGAAAGCGUGGGGAGCAAACAGGAUUAGAUACCCUGGUAGUCCACGCCGUAAACGAUGUCAACUAGCCGUUGGAAGACUUGAUCUUUUAGUGGCGCAGCUAACGCACUAAGUUGACCGCCUGGGGAGUACGGCCGCAAGGUUAAAACUCAAAUGAAUUGACGGGGGCCCGCACAAGCGGUGGAGCAUGUGGUUUAAUUCGAUGCAACGCGAAGAACCUUACCAGGUCUUGACAUCCCGAGAAUUUACUAGAGAUAGUUUAGUGCCUUCGGGAACUCGGUGACAGGUGCUGCAUGGCUGUCGUCAGCUCGUGUCGUGAAAUGUUGGGUUAAGUCCCGUAACGAGCGCAACCAUUGUCCUUAGUUGCCAGCACGUAAUGGUGGAACUCUAAGGAGACUGCCGGUGACAAACCGGAGGAAGGUGGGGACGACGUCAAGUAAUCAUGGCCAUUCAGAAAUGGGCUACAAACGUGCUACAAUGGUCGGUACAGAGGGUUGCCAAGCCGCGAGGUGGAGCUAAUCCCUUAAAACCGUUCGUAGUCCGGAUUGGAGUCUGCAACUCGACUCCAUGAAGUCGGAAUCGCUAGUAAUCGCGAAUCAGAAUGUCGCGGUGAAGACGUUCCCGGGCCUUGUACACACCGCCCGUCACACCAUGGGAGUGGAUUGCACCAGAAGUAGUUAGUCUAACCUUCGGGAGGACGAUUACCACGGUGUGGUUCAUGACUGGCGUGAAGUCGAAACAAGGUAACCCUAA